CAGUGUUACAGCUCUUUUAGAAUUUGUCUAGCAGGUCUUCCGGUUCCUACCGGAAGGCCCCC
rnacentral:snRNA from 12 species